ensembl:lncRNA
GAAAGAACAGUGGAGCCCGCGGACACAACUCUCACCGAGGACCCAGUACAGACCCAGCUCUCUUUAGUAGAUUCUUUGCUGGAUCCAGGCUUGAUGUCUGAUAUGGAUGGUGUCAGUGUCACACAGACUGACAGAGCUGUCCCUCAGUCCGACAUGAUGGCACAGAUGAACACACUACGAGGCUCAGUGCAGCAGCUGGAGGAAGAGCUGUCUGAGACACACAGGCUCUUUGACAAGAUAACGAGGGUAAGUGAGAAUCCUUGCAAUAAGCACUUUUAGUAUAAGAUGCUAAUUUAUUUAUUGUAGAUGUGACCAUUAAACACUUUGUACCUUCUGCUUCUGCUUCUGCUUCAUGGCUG